GACUAUUUGAUACAACUAAAGAUCAGUCUGAGCUGCUCUAUGGGAUGUGAGUGUCCAGAACUACUUUGAAAACACAGCAGAAAGGUUGACAAAUAUUAACAGUUUUUGAUGAGGCAGUGAGAACUGCAGCUCGGUUUCCUGUUAUGAGGAGUGGCACGUGGUGUGGUCUUCUGUUGACGUCGCUCAUCUGCUUCAAGUUUCGAUGAGUUGUGCAUUCAGAGACGCUCUCCGGCAAACAUCGGUUGUAACGAGUUUGACUUGCUAACAAAUCAACCCAGUCUGGCCAUUCUCUACUCAACCCUGACAUCAACAAGGACCAGAGCGGACAUGUAAGACAGCUGAUAGCCAUCUGACCGGGAAACACUAAAUCACAGAUGAAACAGCAAGAGGGAAACUGUAAAUCACAUAUUACAAAGAGCCUGCUGAAAGCGCAGGAACAUUGCUUCGCCAUGAGAUUGUCCCUCAUACACUGCCUUCAAAGCUGGCUCAGGCAGGAAGCAGUCAUUCCUAUUUCCUGUCUACGCCACCCAGGGACCAUGGCACAACGGAGGUGUGAAGGAAAAUCACUUCUUUUUUUUUAUGGUUGGAUAUAUUAAUUCUCCCAAGGACACGCAUAUCUAUUGUGAUUGUACUCAUGACUGAGCCGAUGAAAAGAGAUUACAAUAGCACAGGAAUCACAUUUGUAUGUAUGUGAACUCUGGGCGUGAUAAAGCUGUUGUCGUGGAAACACUGAUGAUGGGUUUGUUGGUGUCAUGGUUGGUUUGGUUGAAAGUUAAACAAAGGAAGACAAAGGUCUUUUCCAAACUGUACAAACCCCUUGUAUAACUGAGUGUAUUUAUG